rnacentral:rRNA from 1 species
UACGUAGGGCGCAAGCGUUGUCCGGAAUUAUUGGGCGUAAAGAGCUCGUAGGCGGCCUGUUACGUCUGCUGUGAAAUCCCGGGGCUUAACCCCGGGCCUGCAGUGGAUACGGGCAGGCUAGAGGCAGGCAGGGGAGAACGGAAUUCCCGGUGUAGCGGUGAAAUGCGUUGAGAUCGGAAGGAACGCCCGUGGCGAAAGCGAGGUCCUGGACGUCUACUGACGCUGAGACGCGAAAAGCUAGGGGAGCAACGGGG